rnacentral:SRP_RNA from 1 species
GGUCGGGUCCUGUGCGACACGAACCCGUGAAUCAGGUCAGGGCCGGAAGGCAGCAGCCUUCAGCGGUUUUACGUGUGUGCCGCAGACCGCCUGGCCGUU